CAACACAAUAGGGUGUUUUAUGCAGUAACCUCUGCGUAGCGGCUAGAACCCGCAUUGGGCUUCUUUAAAGGAGAAAUCAAAUG
rnacentral:ncRNA from 1 species